GAUGAACGCUGGCGGCGUGCCUAACACAUGCAAGUCGAACGGACAGACGAGGAGCUUGCUCCGCUUACGUUAGCGGCGCACGGGUGAGUAACACGUGUAUAACCUACCUAUAAGACUGGGAAAACUUUGGGAAACGGGAGCUAAUACCGGAUAAUAUAUUGAACCGCAUGGUUGAGGAGUGAAAGACGGUUUGGCUGUAACUUAGAGGUUGUUCGACUCCGCAUUAGCUAGUUGGUAAGGUAACGGCUUACCAAGGCAACGAUGCGUAGCCGAUCUGAGAGGGUGAUCCGCCACACUGGAACUGAGACACGGUCCAGACUCCUACGGGAGGCAGCAGUGGGGAAUUUUGGGCAAAGGGCGCAAGCCUGAUCCAGCAAUGCCGCGUGAGUGAAGAAGGCCUUCGGGUUGUAAAGCUCUGUUGGCUGGGAAGAAAUAGCACCCACUAAUACAGGGUGUUGUUGACGGUACCAGCAGAAGAAGCACCGGCUAACUACGUG
rnacentral:rRNA from 1 species